CGCACAUUGCGCCCCUUGGUAUUCCGAGGGGCAUGCCUAUUCGAGCGUCAUUAUCACCCCUCAAGCUCCGGCUUGGUGUUGAGGCCUGCUGUAAAGGCACCCUCUAAAAUCAGUGGCAGUGCCGUCAGGCUCUAAGCGUAGUAAUUUCAUCGCUAUAGACCCGAGCGGACCCUCGCCAGAAACCCCCCAUUUUUUAAUGAUUGACCUCGGAUUAGGUAGGGAUACCCGCUGAACUUAA
rnacentral:misc_RNA from 1 species